rnacentral:rRNA from 1 species
UACGUAGGGGGCUAGCGUUGUCCGGAUUUAUUGGGUUUAAAGGGUGCGUAGGUGGUCUGAUAAGUCUGGUUUGAAAGUUGGUCGCUUAACGAUCAAGGGUGGCUGGAUACUGUUGGACUUGAAUAUUGUGGAGGUAGCCGGAAUGGGUUGUGUAGCGGUGAAAUGCAUAGAGAUGACCCGGAACACCGAUUGCGAAGGCAGGCUACUACGCAAUGAUUGACACUGAGGCACGAGAGCAUGGGGAGCAAACAGG